rnacentral:rRNA from 1 species
AGUUGGGCACUCUAAGGUGACUGCCGGUGACAAACCGGAGGAAGGUGGGGAUGACGUCAAAUCAUCAUGCCCCUUAUGACCUGGGCUACACACGUGCUACAAUGGGCAGAACAAAGGGCAGCGAAGCCGCGAGGCUAAGCCAAUCCCACAAAUCUGUUCUCAGUUCGGAUCGCAGUCUGCAACUCGACUGCGUGAAGCUGGAAUCGCUAGUAAUCGCGGAUCAGCAUGCCGCGGUGAAUACGUUCCCGGGCCUUGUACACACCGCCCGUCACACCACGAGAGUUUGUAACACCCGAAGUCGGUGAGGUAACCUUUUGGAGCCAGCCGCCGAAGGUGGGACAGAUGAUUGGGGUGAAGUCGUAACAAGGUAGCCGUAUCGGAAGGUGCGGCUGGAUCACCUCCUUUCUAAGGA